rnacentral:rRNA from 1 species
GACGGAGGGGGCUAGCGUUGUUCGGAAUGACUGGGCGUAAAGGGCGCGUAGGCGGUGUCUUAAGUGAGGCGUGAAAGCCCCGGGCUUAACCCGGGAGGUGCGUUUCAUACUGAGAUGCUAGAGUGCGAGAGAGGAAAGUGGAAUUCCUAGUGUAGAGGUGAAAUUCGUAGAUAUUAGGAAGAACACCAGAGGCGAAGGCGGCUUUCUGGCUCGUAACUGACGCUGAGGCGCGAAAGCGUGGGGAGCAAACAGG